CAAUAUUAAUUUUAAUAUUAAGUAUUUUUUCAAAUACUAUUGCAGCAAGCAAUACUGAUUUUGUUUCGGAUGGCCUAUAUAGAAACGACCAAAAUAACCGGGUUAAUUUUCCUUACCCAAAUCACAGACAGAGAUCUUUUAUGUCAAAUCAAGAAGAAAACAUGGAACAUUUUCCACAAAAACGUCAUCGAAGAAAAUAUAAAAAACCUUGAAUAGUGGAGAGGCCACAUAAGCAACAAGAAUUGUUACAAGAAAUUCGUGACCAAGAAGAAUUUGUUGACUCAAAUGAAGAACAUCAAGAUCCCCCCCAUCGGAAGGAAGUUACGAGUCCCCAAAUCAUUAUCAUGGAUAUCAAAACCUUAGACCUUAUCACGUUUUAAAACGUGAUGCAGAGAAAAAUUUAAUCUAUGAAGACCAAGGUAAAGAGGACCAAGAUCUGGAUGACGUUUUCAGCCAAAGAAGAAAUACAAAGCAAGAAAGAAAUCUGAAUUUACAGAAAAUACCCCUACAGGACUCCCGGGAAAAUCUUUUUCCACCAGAACACCGUCAUCAGAAUGAAGAUGUUUAUGUAAACAGCCAAAAGCAUCUGGAACCCGAGCUUCUCGGAUAACUGGUUCAAGUUCAACAGAAAAUGCUAGAUAUAUCAUUGGAAAUAAAAAUCGAGAAACUGUGAGUCCCCGAUCCAAACCUGAUCAAAAGUUUGUAGAUGACCACAAUACUUUCGAACCAAAAUUUCGAUCUGGUGGGGAGGAUCUGGAAGAAUCAGAAAAUACCCUAGGCAAGGCAACUAAACUGGUCCAUCAGUGGGCCGAAAGUCUUUAACCGAGAUCUUAAAAGCAAAUAAUUUCGAACAAGGCUCCAAGAACGUACAGUCCCAAUAUCAAAUAUUACUUGAGAAAAAAAUCAAUCAAUUGAUUGAUUCAAUAAAGCAACUACGAGAGGACUAUAAGCUAUAGGAUUUAAAAAACGGAAGUAAAACCAACGAGGACAAAGAAAAAUCAGAGACAGCUAAACCUUCAGAUAAGGAAAAGGACAGCUGUGAAGAAUCAAACGAUAAAUUGGAUAAAAAUAAGAAAAUUGAUAAUUCGACGGUCGAAGAAGAGUCAACAACGCAGAGCUCUGUUCUUUCUAAUUCUACAAUUAUGCCAGUAACAGGCGGCGCUUCGACUCCUUCCAUAUCAACUCAUGAACAUGAAACUACAGGGUUGCCCAUAUUCGACGGACCCAUGUUUUUUUUUUAAAAACCA